AUGUGUUGUCCUGUGCUAGAUGUUGCUUUUGAAUCGUACCAAAUUGGACACCAUGCUACACGAGCAGUACCCGUAGCAAAUACUGAUGACUUCAUAUACCGAAACCUACCUACAAAGCACCAUGUUCUAAGAAAGGUUGCGGACUGUCGCCACUGUGGGGCGUUGCGGUUUCCAUUCGAGGGGCCAGCAUUUUGUUGCAGAAAAGGAAAAGUCGAUUUGUUUACUCCAGAUGUUCCAGAAGAGUUGAAACGGUUGUUUACAAGUCAAGAUGAUGAGGACGCUAAGUAUUUCAGAGAACAUAUACGGUAUUUCAACUCGCACUUCUCAUUCACAAGUCUAGGCGUCACCCUAGAUCGACGAGUAAGCAUUGCGGCAGGAACUGGCAUAUAUACAUUCCGUGCGUGUGGUGGGCUGUACCACGCUCUUGACAAUCUGGUGCCGGCUGAUAAUGGCCCUCGGCAUUUGCAACUCUAUAUUUAUGAUACAGAUCAAAACUUGGUUCACAGGGCUAAUAGGUCUCCAGAUCUUAAUAUAGACCUCAUACGGCAGAUUCUGAGAAUACUACAGCGUAACCCUUAUGCGCAAGUUUUUAAGAGCCUUGGGUCUGUUCCGAAUCUACAUGAGUAUAGAAUCUCGCUAAACACGGAUAUCAAGUUGGAUCAACGAAGGUACAAUGCCCCAACGAGUUCCCAAGUGGCAGCCAUAUGGGUUGAAGGGAGUGACCCACAUAAUUGCUUUGACAGGAGUGUUGUUGUGCAUGGAAAAAAAGGAAAACGGCCCCUGUAUAUUAGAGCAUACUAUGGGUGCUAUGACCCAUUGUCAUAUCCACUAUUCUUCCCACGUGGAGAGACUGGCUGGAAUCGUUGCAUGCCAUAUAUUCGAGCCCCAGAUGACACGGCCCAAAAUUCAGUACAUAUGUCUGCACUCCAAGGAAACCAAGCCUCUGAUUUGCACAUAGAUCAUUACAGGUCCACCCACCAUAUUGAUAUUGAUGUUCUCAAUCUUGUAGAUGACAAUGAGGAUAACCCAGAUGACGAUUUUGGUGACAAUGAGGUCAAUGCAACACAAUCCAGAAAAUUUGUUAGCGCAAGGGAAUACUACUGUUUCAAGCUGCAAGUCAGGAGGAAGCUUUUUAACAUCGUCUUGUUCGGGGGGCGCCUUUUCCAACAGUGGGUUGUUGACAUGUAUAUCAAGAUUGAGACGAUGCGGCUUGAUUGGUACUCAAAGCCGAAUCAGAAGGUUAUACGCGCUGACCUGUACCGGGGUCUUGUUGACACCAUCGUUGUCGGCGAGUCACGCGGAGAUCGAAUUGGCAAAAGAAUUGUGCUUCCACGUACAUUUCCUGGUGGUGAUCGCGACAUGCAGCGGAGGUUCUUGGAUGCUAUGGCAAUAGUGCAGCGGUGGGGUAAACCAGAUUAUUUUAUCACGAUGACUUGCAACCCCUAUUGGGAGGAGAUAACCGAGAAACUGUUGCCUGGACAACUGCCACAGGACCGUCCAGACUUGGUGGCAAGAGUAUACAAGGCUAAACAGCGAGAUAUGAUGGACUUACUAAGGAAGCAUUUCGGAGAAGUCGCAGCCUAUGUACAUGUAACUGAGUUUCAGAAGCGAGGUCUCCCUCAUGAGCAUAUACUUCUAAUCAUGAAGUCAAAAAGCAAGUUAGUGACACCAGAUGACUAUGAUCGAGUGAUAUGUGCAGAGAUACCGGACAAAGAAAAACACCCCGUUCUACAUGAUCUGGUCAUCAAACACAUGCUGCAUGGACCAUGUGGCGAGUUGAAAAAAAGUUGCCCUUGCAUGAUUGAUGGGCAGUGUCGGUUUCAUUACCCGCGAGAUUUUUGUGAUGCCACACAACAAGGGAAAGACUCAUAUCCCAUCUAUAGGCGGAGGGACGAUGGGCGUCGAAUUAGGAUCAGAGGAGCAGAUUUGGACAAUAGGUGGGUGGUCCCUUACAACCCUUCACUACUUAUGCGAUACAACUGCCACAUUAAUGUCGAAGCAUGCUCGAGCAUCAAGGCAAUCAAGUACUUGUUCAAGUACAUCUACAAAGGGCAUGAUCGUACAUCCUUUGCAUUCGAGCAGGAAAUCAUCAAUGAUGGUGGAAUCAUCAAUGAAAUCCGACAAUAUAGGGAUGCACGCUAUGUAUCUCCUCCAGAGGCUAUUUACAGGAUUUUUGGUUUUAAAAUGUUUGGUGUCAGUCCAUCUGUGCUACAACUCCAGCUUCAUUUGCCAAAUAUGCAUACAGUUGCAUUUAAAGCAUGUGAAAAUCUUGCAGAUGUUGUAGCUCGACCAUCUUCUUCCAAGUCCAUGCUUAUAGAAUACUUUGAAAUGAACCGGAAGUUUCCAACAGCACGAAAAUGGUUGUACAGAGAGUUUCCAGAACAUUAUAGAGGGAUACCUGGAAAUAAGAAGUGGUAG
rnacentral:rRNA from 1 species